GACGAACGCUGGCGGCGUGCUUAACACAUGCAAGUCGAACGGAAAGGCCCUGCUUGCAGGGUCCUCGAGUGGCGAACGGGUGAGUAACACGUGGGUGAUCUGCCCUGCACUUCGGGAUAAGCUUGGGAAACUGGGUCUAAUACCGGAUAGGAGCCAUCUUUAGUGUGGUGGUUGGAAAGUUUUUUCGGUGUAGGAUGAGCUCGCGGCCUAUCAGCUUGUUGGUGGGGUAAUGGCCUACCAAGGCGGCGACGGGUAGCCGGCCUGGGAGGGUGUACGGCCACAUUGGGGCUGAGAUACGGCCCAGACUCCUACGGGGGGCAGCAGUGGGGAAUAUUGCACAAUGGGCGCAAGCCUGAUGCAGCGACGCCGCGUGGGGGAUGAAGGCCUUCGGGUUGUAAACUCCUUUCGCUAGGGACGAAGCUUUUUUGUGACGGUACCUAGAUAAGAAGCACCGGCUAACUACGUG
rnacentral:rRNA from 1 species